AGACCCAUGGGAGAAUUGAACCCACAACCUUCACUUUAUUAGCAAGAUGCUCUAACCAACUAAGCUAAUGGAAUU